rnacentral:rRNA from 1 species
GAUGAACGCUAGCUACAGGCUUAACACAUGCAAGUCGAGGGGCAUCAGGAAGAAAGCUUGCUUUCUUUGCUGGCGACCGGCGCACGGGUGAGUAACACGUAUCCAACCUGCCCUUUACUCGGGGAUAGCCUUUCGAAAGAAAGAUUAAUACCCGAUAGCAUAAUGAUUCCGCAUGGUUUCAUUAUUAAAGGAUUCCGGUAGAGGAUGGGGAUGCGUUCCAUUAGUUUGUUGGCGGGGUAACGGCCCACCAAGACUACGAUGGAUAGGGGUUCUGAGAGGAAGGUCCCCCACAUUGGAACUGAGACACGGUCCAA